AAUAGAAUAGAAUAGAAUAGAAUAGAAUAGAAUAGAAUAGAAUAGAAUAGAAUAGAAUAGAAUAGAAUAGAAUAGAAUAGAAUAGAAUAGGAGUAGAAUGAUCCUGUUUGACCAGAAAAAUUAUCUGUUACUUCACUUCUAGGUUUCUUCAGUUUCUAGGUACCACACAAAGUGAAUUUCCAUUCUUAACCAAGCAGGCAUAGGUGUGCACCAACACAAUGAAACACCAGCUAAACAGGAAUAGUAAAUUAUUAAAAGUAUAUUUCUUCAAAAUAUUUGACUAUUGAGAAGAUGUAGUGUGUGGGUGUGAGAAGAUCAUUGGAUUUAACACUUUUUUUUCACUUCAAUGCCAUUGUGAGAAAGGUGAGAUAAGGUGAACUUCUCCAUUGGGGCCCUAUAGGUUUUGGAGAGGAAAAAAUGACUGCUUUGAGUGUGUCCCUGUGUUAUCUGGCUCUGCUACGUCUUGGGUCAACAGCUGGAAAAAAGCUUUAAAGAUCCGUAGAAGACAGCAGUGUUGGAUAAAAUGUUAAGAGCAUCCUUUCCUUUUGUGACUAGAUGUUCUUCUCCUGUCAGAAUUUAACUUAUGUAUUUUAGGAAUUGCAGGGUAAGAUAUAUGUGAUUUUGUACAUCUGGACAAUGUGUUUAAUACAGAGAAUGCUAAGCUUUUGUCCACAUAGUGUGAAAAUAAAAUGUACACUGUGGUUCAUAGGAAUCAGACUUACUGGUAGCAGGCUUUCAGAGCACAGAAAAUGUUCUGCUGCAGCACAGCUUGAGGUUCUGCUUUGAGACACCAUGGAUAAUUCUGCUUUUGGUUGGCCUGGCUUUUCUACCUUUGCAACAUCAAAUCUUUGCAAAUGGGCAGUGAAAUCAUAACUUGAAAACUUAGUAUGUUGUGCUGUCUUGUUUGUUAAGUUUUUUAUCAUUGUGUCUGCAAAUUUUUAUUUAUUGGAAGGAAAAUCAGACUACAUAGUACUUUGUCCUCAUAAUAACGAUGCCCUCAUCUAAUUCUAGGUAGUCAAGUAUUUUCUCAUAUGAAGGUAAAUAACCACUCUUUUAUGCUUAAUAUUCUUGUAAUAAAAUGUGUCAAUUUUAUUUAAAAUUAAAGAGAAGGACAAAGAAAUCCUAAUGUGUGUGCAUUUUUUUAAGAAUAAAAAGUAUGCAAUGCUGAAUGGCUUUAACCAGUCCACAGCUGUACUAAAUAAUCAGUCUAAAGACAGUAUAUCCUGGGAUGGUCUAACUCAAGGUAAAUGUUAAGGAUUUUAUUUAUUUAUUUAUUUAUUCUAAUUUUCUCAAGUUUAAAGAAUUUCUGCUCUGUGCAUAAGUGAAAGGAAGAGGAUGACUCCUGGUUUCUUCACAGAAACAGUCUACUGAAGUUAUCUGGACUACUUGACUACUUAAAACCAUUAUCUGGACUCAUACCAGAGCAUUACAGAAUUAUCGUGUUGGAGACUUCUCUGUAUUCCUGUGUGGAGAUCAGAUCCAAAACUGGCUAGAUUGCGUCUCAGGAAGUGAAACACUCUGGAUCGAUGCCCUCCAUGCCAGAGCACAGCACACUGUGCUUUUAGAGUGAUGCUGAAAGGCAACCUCAAACUGAGGAUAGCUUGCACCUGCUUCUGUCAGGCAGAAGAUAUUGAACCAGUUCUGAACUGAGGGAAGAUUUAAAUUCUAAGAUUUGAACCAGAUUUCUAGUUUCCCAUUUUUUUAAAAAAAGGGGGAACUAGGUUUCUCAGGUUUCCUAUAAAAAAAAAGUGACUGAGGCUGAGCACUACAAAUACCUACUUUUUUUACUUGCAUCUAAUAAGCACCCACAAGAUAAGUUUCCACAAGAUCCUUGUCUUGUGAAUCACAAGAUACUUGUCUGUGUGCAUCAAGUAUAUUGUAGAUUUGCAUAUUGGAUUGGCCCUUCAUGUGGCUUGUGUGUUCCUCUACUUAAGUUUUGUAACCUGGAAAGGCUGAAAGAGGAAUUAAUUUAGCUGUGAAUGGUAGAUGCUGAUGGGCGCAGAAGCUCUUGGAACACUAAGCUUAAAGAUUUGCCUUCAGGGUUAGCUGUGUCCUGAACAGAGCUCCUUGGAAAUGUAUGCAUCAAGUUGUCCCGUGUCUUAUUUUAGAAGCUUGUAAUCCUCUACUAGUUGUUUUAUAAUUUUCAGGGAAAUCAAUAUGUUAAAUUAAAUCAAUGUUAUUGAAUUUAAAUGCCAGUGAAAGUCUUCUGUCACUUAUAUUCAGACUAAGCCAAACUCAGUCUGCUUAAUGACAAGGUGAAACCUAUUUUGAUCCUCUUCCAUCUGCAUCCUCAUUUUAAUGGAAUAUUUGUGAUACCUUUCUAUGAAGUAAAGUGCCAGAGGGAAACUGUGUAUUAAUAUGUAAUUGAUAACUGUCUUUAGUUAUGACAGAACUUGAUGUUAUUCAAGGAUCCAGAGGGUGUUUAAACAUAAGAUACAUAAAAUGGUAGGUAAUGUGAAAGUUUACAAUAAAUCCUGGUGCUGAAGAAUGACUUGUAGGUGCCCAAAGAUUUCUUUGGGCCUACCCUUUAUUUUCUAGUUAAGCGAAACUGCUGAAGUUGGAUGAGUUUGGACUGCAUUCUGACUGAGAAGCAGCUAGAAAAGUUCUUCGGGGUGCCUGAAAGUGUGUAGGGAAAAACACUGAAGCUGCCUCAGUCAAUAGAUUUUGCUUUUAGGAGAUUUGCUUCCCAUCCUUCUCUAAGGGGCAAGGCUGGAGCUCACUGUAUGUCAGCUGGUAGUUAGCACAUGAAGCUAUCUCUGAUGUUACCGCAAGUAAGGAUCUUGAGAUCAGCUGAUAAAUUUGAAUUAUUGUGUCCUUCCAUUUCUUUCUCUUCCAUUUCUUCUCUUAUGCGACCCUUAAUUCAAAACAAUGGAGACUUCACUUGCUUCCAGCUGGUUUCUUCAGCAAUGCUGCUGGGGGGGCUUUGACUGGGUGUAAGUCUUGAUCCUUCCCAUAGCCAAAGUGCCUUUAUUGGCUUCUAUUGUAUGAUUAUUUAAACAAUGUCAGUAUGGAAAUUGUUCCUUGGCAAAGAGUAUGCAAGAAGGGAUUUCAGAUUGAAGUCUGCCUGUUUUGUGUUAUGUAUGCAGAGAGACUUGUAUAGAGCCCACUCUUUUUUAAAAUGAAUGAACACUCACUUUACUACUAUUUCUUCUCGAGUCUGUCCAAUCUUUUUGAAAAAAAAAAAAAAAUUAGCAUGGUGGUAUUUUCAAAAGAUUGUUUCUGUGGCAUAUAAUCAGUAAUUUUCACAAUUUCAGAGUAUAUAUAUCCACAUUUUGUUUUAGCGAAGGUUUAAUUUGUAUAUAUCUCAACUGAGAAAAUAGGAAACCAAAAGAAAAGUUUAGUGUGCUGGGUAAAGUUGUUCUUGCAGUGCCUGUUUGCAAUUAAUCUGUGAUAAUUCACUCUCCAAAUGAAAUUAUUUCUCUAAUAAUGCAACCAAACUGAGUUCAAUGUUUACUUGGAGCUGACCUUAAAUUGCCUGAAUCAUCUAAUUUUAAGACUCCUAGUUGUAUUGAAAGAAAUAUUCAGAAAGAAUAAGCACUUGGAUUUAUAAUACUUUUCAAAGAUUGUGUUAUUGUUUAUUAAAAUAUUUUUGUGUUAGAAUUGAAGAUUCAGUCUAGCAAUGUACAGUAAUUGCUGCUGACUGAAAAAUUGCAGUCUGUGUCUGAGGGAGAGACAGUUUUGUAGUUGUUGAAUUUCCAGAGCAGAAAUCCUACUAAGCUGUUCACAGAAUACACAGGGCUUUCCUUCAUUUUUUAGAUAUUUUAAUUGGCUGGAGACUCACUUUUAUACUUCCACGGACUUGUACAUUGUUUGAUGUUGAAGAGGCAGAUCAAUAAUACCACAGUAAUUACGUUAUUAACAUAGAUAAUUGAUUCAUGUUUUUUAGGUAAUGAAGACAUCUAAUAACCUAGAUAAAAGCAGUUAAUAAAACCAUAGUGUAGUCUGGAUUUAAGAGGGGAUCAAGCACUAAUUGAGUGAACUCAGUUUGCAGUAAUCAAAUGUCUACCAUUAUUUCUUAAACAAGUUUUUAACCUUUGAAAAUUUUAAUUUAGUGGUUUUCUAUCUUGUGCUGCUAUUAGUAUGAGGAGACCUUAAAAGAAAGUUUAUUUUUACAGGAAUGUAUACAAUUUUUCUAUGUGCUACCAUAGACCAUAGAAGCCCAGGGAGUAGGUUAUUAAGCCAAGAUACUUUAUCACUGACUCCAAGUUUUAUAAAGUUGUUUUUCAGUGUGUUUAUGUGAAAACAUAGUUGGAGUGACUAAAAGUGACAUAUCAUUUGUUUGGCAUUAGAUAUUCUAGUUUAUUGUAAUAAAAUUUCGUGUAAUUGUGCAUGAGAAGAAUGAAUAAAUGGGCAUUUAGAAGGUUUAUAGGUAAGUUUUUAGAAGGUUACAUUUCCGGCUUAUUUUUUAUACAGUGGAAUUUUUGAUGCUACAGUAAAUUAAGAAGCUGGAUGCUUUUCCUAUGAUAUCCUAUUUCACUAAUACAGAAUAACCUUGAGCCACAGUAGGGCAAUAAUUACCAAACUUAAAUCAGAGACACACUCAGCCAAACAGCUGUUUUCAGUUUGUUAGGAGAUCCAUUUGAUUUACUCUCUUGGUCAACGUUCAUUACUUUAUAAGACAAAAUUUCACUGGAGAUUUUAACCCUGAAUUCCCAAUUUUGUUUGUUGCCUGUUGUAAAAUUGCAUGGUUUAAAUGUCAUGGCCACUCAACAUGUGGGGGAGCUACUGUUGUGUUUUCCAUUGAUCCCAGUUUUCUUGACAAGUGGUUUCAAAUACUGAAGGGUGCAGGUAGAAUUGCACCCCAGACAUAUUUCCAGAUGACCUUUCUGUUCUGAGGGAAAAGAGGGGGAAAGGUAUUGAAUAAGGCCACUGUCCUGCACUUUGGUGGUUUGUCAGCUAACAUGGUGGAUCACAUAAUUGUGAAUAUUUGGCAGACAAAUUGUUUGUUACACAAAUUGUCACUGGUUUAAUUUAUUUUACAAGGUCAGCACAUCUCUGCUAUCUCACCCUGAAGAGAUGUAUUUCCCAGGUUUUGCUGCUGUGUGGUUUGAAACCUAAUGCUGGCCCCUAUCUAGCAGUGAACUCUACUGGUCUUAACCAUGUCUCCAUUUCAACAACUGUUGUUGUGUUUUAGUAUAACAGCAACAUCAGUGAUAAUAUGGUGAUUGUCACAAGCUAUUUUAAUGGCAUUAGAGGUUACUUCAAGGAGAAUUCAGGCAUGAAAUGUUGGGGGUUUUUUUCCAUAUUGCAGAAGUUUUCUUACAGUUAUUCUAGUAUUGCUGGCUCUCUGGAUAUUUUUUGUUUCUGUUACAUGUGAUGAACAUGUUUGUAAAUUUUGAAAAAUGACUGAAUUUGUACAUGAAAAUGAAAUAACUGAUAAAAUAAAGAAAUUUCUGAUAAAUUUAUUUGCAGCAUCA